UCCAUUUAUUGAUAAUGGGAA
rnacentral:piRNA from 1 species